CUGUUGUUAUAUUAAAACUGAUCGCUUUGUAUUCUUUAGACUGACGAUUGAUGUAAGCUGGGAUCCAUUUACGCAUUAUUCGAAACUGCAGUAGAAGGUAGCCUUCAUCUUCUUCUGGAGGGUUAGUUGAUACUGUUGUGGAUUCCGGGGAACUAGUCGGAGUGCCUGUGACUUCUUUAGUUGCUUUAGUUGCUGUUGUAGUUGUGAGACCAACUGUUGUUGUUGUUGUUGUGGGGCCCGCAAUGGUAAUUGUGGUACCUGCGAUUGUUGUUGUUGGGCCUACAGUUGAAGUUGUAGGUCUUCCAAUUGAGGUGGUUGGAGUAGCUGUGGUUGUAGGAACAGCAGUUGGGGUUUUUGAACCUGCUGUUGUUGUUGUGGUUUGAUUAGCAGUUGUCGUUGUGGGACUUGCAGUGGACGUUGUUCGUCUUGAUGUUGUUUUUUGAAAUGCGGUUGUCGUGGUUUGAGCAGCUGUUGUAGUUGUGGGACCUGAUGUUGUAGUUGUUGGAACUGCUGUUGUAUAAGUUUCUGUCGCAGUUGUUGGACCUGCAGUUGUGGUGUUUUGAGCAGCUGUUGUUGUUGCACGACCUACCGUUGUAGUUGUUUGACCUGCUGUUAUUAUUGAGAGAACUGCUUUGGUAGUUGUUGGACCUACAGUUGUGGUGGCUGGAGCAAAAGUUGUUGUUGCGGGAUCUGCUGUAAUAGUUGUUGAAACUGAUGUAGUAGUUGUUGGACCUGAAGUUGUAGUUGUUGGAACUGCUGUGGUAGUUGUUGGACCUGCAGUUGUGGUUGUUGGAGCAGCUGUUGCGGUUGUUGGACUUUCCGUGGUACUUGUUGGACCAGACGAUGUAGUUGUAGGAGUUGCUGUUGUUGUUCUGGGACUUGCUGUGGGAGAUGUUGGACUUGAAGUUGUAGUUGUUGGAACUGCUGUGGUAGUUAUUGGACCUGCAGUUUUGGUGGAUUGAGCAGCUGUUGUAGUUGUUGGAGCAGCUGUUGAGGUCGUUGGACCCUCCGUGGUACUUGUUGGACCAGACGAUGUAGUUUUGGGGGUUGCUUUUGUUGUUGUGGGACCUGCUGUGGUAGUUGUUGGACCUUCAGUUGUGUUUGUUUCAGGAGCUGUUGUCGUUCUGGGACCAGCUGUGGUAGUUGUUGGACUUGAAGUUGUAGUUAUUUGAACAGCUGUGGUAGUUGUUGGACCUGCAGUUGUGGUUGUGGGAGCAGUUGUUGUGGUUGUUGGAAUCUCUGUGGUACUUGUUGGACCAGACGAUGUAGUUGUGGGAGUUGCUUUUGUUGUUGUGGGACCUGCUGUGGUAGUUGUUGGACCUUCAGUUGUGUUUGUUUCAGGAGCUGUUAUCGUUCUGGGACCAGCUGUGGUAGUUGUUGGACUUGAAGUUGUAGUUAUUUGAACAGCUGUGGUAGUUGUUGGACCUGCAGUUGUGGUUGUGGGAGCAGUUGUUCUGGUUGUUGGAAUCUCUGUGGUACUUGUUGGACCAGACGAUGUAGUUGUUGGAGUUGCUGUUCUCGUUGUGGGACCUGCUGUGGUAGUUGUUGGACCUGA
ensembl:lncRNA